rnacentral:rRNA from 1 species
AAUCUUACCGGGUCCGGACACACUGAGGAUUGACAGACAGUAUUCAUGCCGACUGAAUUUCGACAUAUUUCAAAUGUGCGAGUUCUUUCAUGAUUGUGUGAUAGGUGGUGCAUGGCCGUUCUUAGUUCGUGGAGUGAUCUGUCUGCUUAAUUGCGUUUCAUAUUUACGAAUGUCGCUUACGUGAUUGCUGCAGACCUCGCUCUCUUUAUUGAG